AUUUCCUUCACCCACAAACCAGAGCACUCACUGGGUCCAUUGAGGUCUUUGGGGUCUUGCUCAAGGUGGAGUUGGCCAUGCUGUGGGGGAAGUGCAUGCCCUGCUCUUUUUCAAGCCCCUUAGGCUCUCUAAGGCUCAGGAUCUCUGUGUGGCACCAGCGCCUUCCAGGAGUAGCAGAGGGGGUGGAGAAUUUCCUUUUCCUGGCCUGAAUUGCCAUCUUCCUCUGAAGAAAUUUUAACACUCGAUGUCAGGCAGAUCCCCUUGACAACAAAUUCCCUUAGUUUCUGUUUGUCUGAGAAAGUCUUUACUUCUCCUUUUGUGAAGGAUUUUUAUCAGAUACAGAGUCUUGCUUGCAUGGAUUCAGAAGAAGAGAUUGAUGUAAUUUCUAUACUUACCUUUCUUCUCUAGGGAAUGUGGGUCCCCUGUCACCCCCAGAGUCUUUCAAGAUUGUCUUUGAUUUUUUUUUGAGGUUUGAAUGUAAUAUACCUCCUAAAUGUAGCUGUUGGGGUUUCUUUUUUAUGAGUUUGUUUGCUUUUAUUUUGUAUUCACCUGUUUACUGCUCUCUGAGCUUGUUAGAUGUGGGGUCUAUCAUUAAUUCAGGAAAAUUCUCAUCCAUUAUUACCUCAGUUACCUCAAAUAUAUUUUGUUUCUCUCUCUCUUCUCCUUUUGGUAUUCCCAUUACACGUAAGUUGCACUUUUAUAAUUGCAACCCAGGUCUUGGAUAUUCUGUUCUGUUUCUUUAUUCUUUGUUCGACUUGCUUUUCCGACUGAGAAGUUUCCGUGGACCUGUCUUCACACUCAGUGACCCUUUUCUUAGCCAUUUUCAGUGAGCUGCUGAGUCCAUCAGAGACAUUCUCAUUUUUCCCACAAUGUUUUCAUCCCUGGCAUUUCUUUUUUUUUUUUU
rnacentral:lncRNA from 1 species